GGAUAUCAUCAUAUACUGUAAGUUCAUUAUGGAGACACUACAGUAUAGAUGAUGUACU
ensembl:miRNA microRNA 144